rnacentral:rRNA from 1 species
AACGUAGGAGACAAACGUUAUCCGGAGUUACUGGGCGUAAAGGGCGUGUAGGCGGUCUGUUAAGUCUGGCGUGAAAGCUCUCGGCUAAACCGGGAGAGGUCGUUGGAUACUGGCAGACUAGAGGACGGUAGAGGCGUGUGGAAUUCCGAGUGUAGUGGUGAAAUGCGUAGAGAUCCGGAGGAACACCGGUGGCGAAGGCGGGUCUCUGGGCCGAUACUGACGCUGAGGAGCGAAAGCGUGGGGAGCGAACAGG